rnacentral:tRNA from 1 species
AGAGGGGUACAUCUCUGGGGUAGAGCACAUGCUUAACAUGCACGGGGUCCUGGGUUCAAUCCCCAGCACCUCUG